ACUAAGUGCUUGGUGCUACUUGUGCAAAUCGCACCCCCCCCCUUUUUUUUUUCUUUCAGGAAGGAACAAGCAUAACAGAAAAGCUGGAAGAGCUGCCUCUCACACCUACUGUCAUCGCACUGGGUAGCAUUUUCAGCAAGCAAUGCUUUGUUACAUGCGACCACGAGGUCCUCUUCUCGCAAGCAUUGAGCUUCACGGAAGCAACUUGCCUGAUGUUUUUGUGCUAUUAGGUGUUUAAUAUCACAUAUGCCGAGGAGGGUUCAACCACACUAGAGUGUCUCCAAAGGCUGCUAUUUCACAUACAACCUUCAACGGGCACGAAAGCACAAGGGAAGAAGUCUCGGACAAGUGUACAUAACAAGAUUAUGUCAUUAGCCCGGAAGCUGCAAGUGAAAUGUUGAAGCUGUGAGUGGUUAUAUCUAAAUUUUUUUCACGGGGCAUUUUUAUGCAUGUUGUGUGUCAUUUUUAUAAUGCUGUAAAUACCAUGCUUCGACUUGACAAUGAGUUAAGACUGUUCGAAGUAAAUGUUCAGUUUUAGGAUUUAGGUGGGCUUUUAUUCGGCAA